CUUUUACCGCUUCUCUGCCAGUUUCAUUGGGUUGAAAUAGUGUUUGACCCUCCCUCGCAACCAUAUGUUCAAGCUCAAGACAUAUGAUUGAUGUAGAGGCCACUUGAGCACUCUUAAUUGCAUCUGGCAGUAAAUGAGGAGCACUCUCAAGACGAGUAUCUGUCUACAUAUCCACGGGUUGUUCACAUUUAGGAGCCACCCAUCUCCACAGUCUUUAUAUUCCUAUCCCAUAGUCCAUACUGGGCUUUUUAAGCUGAGCCCAUGAUUCUGUUUGUU